rnacentral:sRNA from 1 species
CCAGGUCGUCCUGGUCGAGCACCUUGUCGAGGUCGUGCCCGGCG